AGUGAACGCUGGCGGUAGGCCUAACACAUGCAAGUCGAACGGCAGCACAGUAAGAGCUUGCUCUUAUGGGUGGCGAGUGGCGGACGGGUGAGGAAUACAUCGGAAUCUACCUUUUCGUGGGGGAUAACGUAGGGAAACUUACGCUAAUACCGCAUACGACCUUCGGGUGAAAGCAGGGGACCUUCGGGCCUUGCGCGGAUAGAUGAGUCGAUGUCGGAUUAGCUAGUUGGCGGGGUAAAGGCCCACCAAGGCGACGAUCCGUAGCUGGUCUGAGAGGAUGAUCAGCCACACUGGAACUGAGACACGGUCCAGACUCCUACGGGAGGCAGCAGUGGGGAAUAUUGGACAAUGGGCGCAAGCCUGAUCCAGCCAUACCGCGUGGGUGAAGAAGGCCUUCGGGUUGUAAAGCCCUUUUGUUGGGAAAGAAAAGCAGCCGGCUAAUACCCGGUUGUUCUGACGGUACCCAAAGAAUAAGCACCGGCUAACUUCGUGC
rnacentral:rRNA from 1 species